GCAGUGGGGAAUAUUGCGCAAUGGGCGAAAGCCUGACGCAGCGACGCCGCGUGAGGGAUGAAGGUCUUCGGAUUGUAAACCUCUUUCAGCAGGGACGAAGCGAAAGUGACGGUACCUGCAGAAGAAGCACCGGCUAACUACGUGCCAGCAGCCGCGGUAAUACGUAGGGUGCAAGCGUUGUCCGGAUUUAUUGGGCGUAAAGAGCUCGUAGGCGGUUAGACACGUCGGAUGUGAAAACUGGGGGCUCAACCCCCAGCCUGCAUUCGAUACGGUCUGACUAGAGUGUGGUAGGGGUAACUGGAAUUCCUGGUGUAGCGGUGAAAUGCGCAGAUAUCAGGAGGAACACCGAUGGCGAAGGCAGGUUACUGGGCCACCACUGACGCUGAGGAGCGAAAGCGUGGGGAGCAAA
rnacentral:rRNA from 1 species